rnacentral:rRNA from 1 species
GUUAGGAAUUUUGCGCAAUGGGGGAAACCCUGACGCAGCAACGCCGCGUGAAGGAUGAAGGCCUUCGGGUUGUAAACUUCUUUAGGCAGGAAAGAACACAAUGACGGUACCUGCAGAAUAAGCACCGGCUAACUCUGUGCCAGCAGCCGCGGUAAUACAGAGGGUGCAAGCGUUAUUCGGAAUUACUGGGCAUAAAGAGCGCGUAGGCGGUUCGAUAAGUCUGAUGUGAAAUCCCUGGACUCAAUUCAGGAAGUGCAUCGGAUACUGUCGGACUAGAGUAUAGGAGGGGACAGCGGAAUUCCUGGUGUAGAGGUGAAAUUCGUAGAUAUCAGGAGGAACAACAGUGGCGAAGGCGGCUGUCUGGACUAUUACUGACGCUGAGGCGCGAAAGCGUGGGGAGCAAACAGGAUUAGAAACCCGAGUAGUCC